UACGUAGGGUGCAAGCGUUGUCCGGAAUUAUUGGGCGUAAAGAGCUCGUAGGCGGUCUGUCGCGUCGGCUGUGAAAUCCCGAGGCUCAACCUCGGGUCUGCAGUCGAUACGGGCAAACUAGAGUAUUGCAGGGGAGACUGGAAUUCCUGGUGUAGCGGUGAAAUGCGCAGAUAUCAGGAAGAACACCCGUGGCUAAGGCGGCUCUCUGGGACGGUACUGACGCUGAGACGCGAAAGCGUGGGAGCAAACAGG
rnacentral:rRNA from 1 species